CAGUCUCCUUUCUCCUCGGGGCUGAGAGGAGCAGCUGGUGUGACUCAGGCCCCCAUUAUGGUUUCCAGAGAAGCUGCUGGCUGGAGACAGAACAUCUGGUUUGUUUGAAUGGACCAACAAUAGUCCAAGUGCUUGUGUACGACGAUGAGGAAAGGAUUGCCAAGUGUACACCCAGUAGGGCAAGCUAUUGCCAGUGAGGGAGAGUCCAUUGUUUGCAGUGGGCAGCCCAAGUCUCUGAGGUCUCUCUCAGGCCAGUCCUGACAGUAGCUACACUUCUUGAAGAUCGUGGAAAAGGUAGCAGCAGCAACAGGAAAAAAGGAAAAAAGAAAAGGAGGCUGGUGACUCAGUCUUUCAGAAUUGAAAGACCACACACCUCUGGCUCUAGGAUCAUGGAAGCAGGUGCUGUUUAUGUUAAAAGGAGGGGAAGAAGUGACUCCUUUUUCUUCUGUGCUGGAAUCUCUGGGACGCAUCACAUGCCUGCAGAGUAGGACCCCUGCUGUGACGACGCCUACCAUGUGGUUCAUUUGACUUUGAAACUGGUUUGUGGGAGGAGUUUGGAAAAGUUUGGGAAAGCAAGCCCCAC